UUUUUUCCUUCCCUCCCUGUGUCCUCCCUUCCUUUCCCAUAUUCACGGAGCACCUUCUGGGCAUCAGAGCAGUUAACCAGAUCCCGGGAAGGAGCGGAGCCCUGAUGGUUCCCAGACUCUCUCACAUUAAUUGACCCAAGGAAUCUAGCUUAGAGGAUCUGCCCAAUGUAAAAGAAGAAACAGAAGUGGAGAAGCACCCCCCCCCCCCCAUCAGUCCAUCCACACAGCAAGCUGGGAGGUAGCAGCACCAAGGAGCCCAGAGAAAGCAAGUGUCCCGGCUCACAGAAGCUCCAGGUAACGUCUUGUGUAACUCAGGAAGCUGGCCCUUGCUCUGUUCACUUUGCAGCUUCUCAGGGCGCUGCAGUGAUAAAGACUUCCGCCCUGUCCCUCUGGGGAGCUCCCCCCCACCACCACACACACACCUCACCCCCCCACACCCCUGCCAGCUAGCCUGGAGGGCUGCCUGUCCU
rnacentral:lncRNA from 1 species